CGCCUCUUGCCAACAAAAUAUAAGAGGUCCCGCCUGCCCUGUGACUAUAUGUUUAACGGCCGCGGUAUUUUGACCGUGCAAAGGUAGCGCAAUCACUUGUCUUUUAAAUGAAGACCCGUAUGAAUGGCUUGACGAGGGCUUAGCUGUCUCUUUUCUCUAGUCAGUGAAAUUGAUCUCCCCGUGCAGAAGCGGGGAUACUUACAUAAGACGAGAAGACCCUAUGAAGCUUUAGACGCAAAGCGAACCAAACCCCCCUGCCCAAAAAUUAAAAGGGGUAAUAAAAUGGCAUCCCGCUCAAUGUCUUUGGUUGGGGCGACCCUGGGGAAAAACGAAACCCCCGCGCGGAACAGGAAACACUCCUUCCACAACCAAGAGCCCCCGCUCUAAGUAACAGAACAUCUGACCAAUAAUGAUCCAGCAAGCUGAUCAACGGACCAAGUUACUCUAKGGAUAACAGCGCAAUCCCCUCCCAGAGCCCAUAUCGACGAGGGGGGUUACGACCUCGAUGUUGGAUCAUGAUGUCCUACUGGUGUAGCCGCUAUUAAGG
rnacentral:rRNA from 1 species